UUUCACAUAUAAUAUAUUAAUAUAUCACUACAACAGAAUUAGGUUAUAGGGACACAUGUUUAGGACACUUUUGUGUAAGUGUCACAUUUAUACCAAAUUUUUUUUAAAAAAUCUACUAAUGCCUAAAUAUAAAACCCAAUCCAACCAAAAAUAAAAGGUUAGUAUACUCAACGCACCCCACCCAGCCCAUUCGGCUUAAUUACAAACAGAAAAGAAAAAAAAAAAUCGAUUACCAUCUUCCCUUCUCCCCUCACUCAAUCCACUGAAAUUCUAGACGAAGAGCCCUUCUCUCUCGUCCUCCUCCGCCACCGCAGCAACAAGGUAGAGUUUCGGCGGUUGCUAAAUGCUUAAAUAAGCAUUGGUAAAUUAGCAGCACUCUUUUAGGUUAUAGCGAUACUCUUUAACUGUCACUAUAUCCCUAGCGACCCCACAUAUAGCAACACUUUUUAAAAGUGUCGGUAAUUUAGUCAGCAGCAUUUUUUUUGACAUGUAUCAACAUUUAAAAGUGUCGCUAUAGACCGUUUUUGUUGUUGUAUAUUAGUCUAUAUAAAAAGAGAGUAUUGCAAACUUUUGGUGGCGAUUUAAGUUCGGAUGAAAAAUUACUUUUUUUUUGUUAUUUAUUUAUAUAGUUGUGAAUUGAAAUUUUUUCGAUUGCUAUUUGUUUGACAUAAAGUGAAUGGCGUAAAAAUUAAAGAUAUAAGAGAUGAACGAAUAUUUUAUAUAUUUUAUUUUUUUAUAAUUGAUUUUGGUCUGGGAUGGGUUAAAGUUAAUUACAAUAUUUUGAAAAGUUUAAGUUUCAACCGAAAAUAAAGUUACAGUAAACCAAUGCAUAUUUUAUGAUCGUAAAUUAUUUCAUCUUUUUAUUUUUGGUAAA
rnacentral:lncRNA from 1 species